CCUACGGGGGGCAGCAGUGGGGAAUUUUGCGCAAUGGGCGAAACCCUGACGCAGCGACGCCGCGUGAUUGAAUAAGUACUUCGGUAUGUAAAGCUCUAUCAGCAGGGAAGAAACUGACGGUACCUGACAAAGAAACCCCGGCCAACCACGGGACAGGAGCCGGGGUAAUACGGAGGGGGCAAGCGUUUUCCGGAUUUACUGGGGGGAAAGGGGGCGUAGACGGCAACACAAGUCUGGGGUGAAAUGCCGGGGCUUAACCCCGGAACUGCCUUGGAAACUGUGCGGCCGGAGUGCAGGAGGGGUAAGGGGAAUUCCUGGUGUAGCGGUGAAAUGCGUAGAUAUUAGGAGGAACAUCGGUGGCGAAGGCGGCUUACUGGACUGUAACUGACGCUGAGGCUCGAAAGCGUGGGGAGCAAACGGGAUUAGAUACCCGAGUAGUC
rnacentral:rRNA from 1 species